ensembl:misc_RNA 7SK 7SK RNA
GGAUGUGAGGGCGAUCUGGUUGCGACAUCUGUCACCCCAUUGAUCGCCAGGGUUGAUUCGGCUGAUCUGGCUGGCUAGGCGGGUGUCCCCUUCCUCCCUCACCGCUCCAUGUGCGUCCCUCCCGAAGCUGCGCGCUCGGUCGAAGAGGACGACCAUCCCCGAUAGAGGAGGACCGGUCUUCGGUCAAGGGUAUACGAGUAGCUGCGCUCCCCUGCUAGAACCUCCAAACAAGCUCUCAAGGUCCAUUUGUAGGAGAACGUAGGGUAGUCAAGCUUCCAAGACUCCAGACACAUCCAAAUGAGGCGCUGCACGUGGCAGUCUGCCUUUCUUU